UACGGAGAGUGCGAACGUUGUUCGGAUUCACUGGGCGUAAAGGGCACGUAGGCGGCUCGGCAAAUCGGUCGUGGAAUCCCGACGCUUACCGUCGGAACGGCGGCCGAAAAUACCGAGCUCGAGGGCGUGAGGGGUCACUGGAACUCCUGGUGAAGCGGUGAAAUGCGUAGAUAUCAGGAGGAACGCCGGAGGCGAAAGCGAGUGACUGGCGCGUUCCUGACGCUGAGGUGCGAAAGCUAGGGGAGCAAACAGG
rnacentral:rRNA from 1 species